rnacentral:rRNA from 1 species
CAGGUCAGCAUACUGCCGUGAAUAGUUCCCGGGCCUUGUACACACCGCCCGUCACACCAUGAGAGUUGGGGAUACCCGAAGCCUGUGAGCUAACUUUAUAAGGAGCAGCAGUCGAAGGUAGAAUCAAUGAUUGGGGUGAAGUCGUAACAAGGUACC